rnacentral:rRNA from 1 species
CAUAGCGGCCGUCUUAGCAUGCAAGUCGAGCGGCAAGGAGGAGCAAUCCUCCCUAGAGCGGCGGACUGGUGAGUAACACGUGGGUGAUCUACCUAUAGGUUGGGGAUAGCCAUUAGAAAUAGUGGGUAAUACCGAAUGUGGUUGCGGGGUUUUGAUCCUGCAAAGAAAGGAGCUACGGCUCCGCCUGUAGAUGAGCCCGCGUCCCAUUAGCUAGUUGGGGGUGUAACGGACCACCAAGGCGAUGAUGGGUAGCCGGCCUGAGAGGGUGAACGGCCACACUGGGACUGAGAUACGGCCCAGACUCCUACGGGAGGCAGCAGCUAAGAAUAUUCCGCAAUGGACGAAAGUCUGACGGAGCGACGCCGCGUGGAUGAGGAAGGCCGAAAGGUUGUAAAGUCCUUUUGUCGAUGAAGAAUAAGCGGUGGAGGGAAUGCCAUCGUGAUGACGUUAGUCGGCGAAUAAGCCCCGGCUAAUUACGUGCCAGCAGCCGCGGUAACACGUAAGGGGCAAGCGUUGUUCGGAAUUAUUGGGCGUAAAGGGCGCGUAGGCGGACUUGCAAGCCCGGCGUGAAAUCCUGGAGCUUAACUCCGGAACUGCGCUGGGAACUGCGGGACUAGAGUCAUGGAGGGGGAGUUGGAAUUCCAGGUGUAGGGGUGAAAUCUGUAGAUAUCUGGAAGAACACCGGUGGCGAAGGCGAACUUCUAGCCAAUGACUGACGCUGAGGCGCGAAAGUGCGGGGAGCAAACAGGAUUAGAUACCCUGCUAGUCCGCACAGUAAACGAUGCACACUAGGUGUUGGGUCGAGCGACUCGGGUGCCGA